GGAAUCGCUGUAAUCGCGAAUCAGAAUGUCGCGGUGAAUACGUUCCCGGGUCUUGUACACACCGCCCGUCACACCACGAGAGUUUACAACACCCGAAGUCAGUGGCCUAACCGCAAGGAGGGAGCUGCCUAAGGUGGGGUAGAUGAUUGGGGUNAAGUCGUAACAAGGUAGC
rnacentral:rRNA from 1 species